UCAUUCCUACGGGGCGCAGCAGUAGGGAAUCUUCCACAAUGGGCGAAAGCCUGAUGGAGCAACGCCGCGUGGGUGAAGAAGGUCUUCGGAUCGUAAAACCCUGUUGUUAGAGAAGAAAGUGCGUGAGAGUAACUGUUCACGUUUCGACGGUAUCUAACCAGAAAGCCACGGCUAACUACGUGCCAGCAGCCGCGGUAAUACGUAGGUGGCAAGCGUUAUCCGGAUUUAUUGGGCGUAAAGGGAACGCAGGCGGUCUGUUAAGUCAGCGGUCAAAGCCCGGGGCUCAACCCCGGCCCGCCGUUGAA
rnacentral:rRNA from 1 species